rnacentral:pre_miRNA from 1 species
GAUGUACUCCCUCCGCCCGGAAAAGCUUGUCCCAAACUUGUCCCUCAAAUGGAUGUAUCUAGCACUAACUUGAUGCUAGAUACAUCCAUUUGAAGGACAAGCUUUUUCGGACGGAGGGAGUACUUG